rnacentral:rRNA from 1 species
CUCCCCGGUAACCGUGGUACCCGUAAACUUGCUGCUUUGCUCACGAGUGGCGGACGGGUGAUAAUGUCUGGAAACUGCCUGAUGGAGGGGGAUAACUACUGGAAACGGUGGCUAAUACCGCAUAACGUCCAAGACCAAAGAGGGGGACCUUCGGGCCUCUUGCCAUCAGAUGUGCCCAGAUGGGAUUAGCUUGUUGGUGAGGUAACGGCUCACCAAGGCGACGAUCCCUAGCUGGUCUGAGAGGAUGACCAGCCACACUGGAACUGAGACACGGUCCAGACUCCUACGGGAGGCAGCAGUGGGGAAUAUUGCACAAUGGGCGCAAGCCUGAUGCGCCAUGCCGCGUGUAUGAAGAAGGCCUUCGGGUUGUAAAGUACUUUCAGCGGGGAGGAAGGUGUUGCGGUUAAUACCGCAGCAAUUGACGUUACCCGCAGAAGAAGCACCGGCUACUCCGUGCCAGCAGCGCGGUAAUACGGAGGGGUGCAGCGUUAUCGGAAUUACUGGGCGUAAAGCGCACGCGGCGGUCUGUCAAGCAAUUGUAAA